GAUGAACGCUGGCGGCGUGCCUAAUACAUGCAAGUCGAGCGAACAGACGAGGAGCUUGCUCCUCUGACGUUAGCGGCGGACGGGUGAGUAACACGUGGAUAACCUACCUAUAAGACUGGGAUAACUUCGGGAAACCGGAGCUAAUACCGGAUAAUAUAUUGAACCCAUGGUUCAAUAGUGAAAGACGGUUUUGCUGUCACUUAUAGAUGGAUCCGCGCCGCAUUAGCUAGUUGGUAAGGUAACGGCUUACCAAGGCGACGAUGCGUAGCCGACCUGAGAGGGUGAUCGGCCACACUGGAACUGAGACACGGUCCAGACUCCUACGGGAGGCAGCAGUAGGGAAUCUUCCGCAAUGGGCGAAAGCCUGACGGAGCAACGCCGCGUGAGUGAUGAAGGUCUUCGGAUCGUAAAACUCUGUUAUUAGGGAAGAACAAAUGUGUAAGUAACUAUGCACGUCUUGACGGUACCUAAUCAGAAAGCCACGGCUAACUACGUG
rnacentral:rRNA from 1 species